UGCCCACUUUAGGGAAAGGGGAGACUCCUCCCUAGCUUGCUCCUGCGGCCUUAUGGCUAAGGGCAAGCGAAACUCUGGGGCAUCCAAACCUCAAGCCUCUGGGCUUGGGCCUGCAUGUAGGAUGCCCACCAAUGGACUUGGGAGUAUCUGAAGUCCCAGGGUGAUAGGCCUGGGAUGGAGGAUGCUCACCGGUUGUAGUGACAUACAUCGUGUUCAGAAUGAUUGAGUUUGCCUGCUCAAUUGAUCCGAUUUUUGGAAUGACUGAAUUCUGCUCAGUCAAUAUGGUUCGGAAUCAAUUUGGCUAAUUUAACCUGGAGCAUGAAAUAUAUGAUAAAAGACCAAAAAAACCCAGUCGAGUUUGGGACACAGUGGUCAAAAUGUUAAAAGUCUGGUCAAAACUUAUUCAAGAAAGACACAGAAACAUCUAUGGUUUGUUUGGUAAAGCCAAAUGGGACUAACACGUAGUUUUGCACAUUCGUUUUUGGGGCGUGGGGCAGACCUGACUUGAGGUAACGCCUGUGACCUUGCUCUCCAAAGUAGCGUUAUAGUCAUCUGCUAAUAAUUUCAAUACUAUACAACACAUAUUGGUCAUAUGCAAAGAUCCUGUAUGUGUGUCUGCACAUGCAUGCAUGCGCACGCAACUAUUCUGCAUAUUAGCCGAAGAGGGCAAUUGCAACAGAUUUGGAUGCUGACAAGUUUUAAGCAGCUGCUUAAAGCUGCAAUAUGCAUACCUUAAAAGGUAACCUUCUUUAAAAAAUGCUUACUAUUAAAUAAUAUUGCUUUUAAAACACUUUUAAAAAUUUGCUCUUUUAUACAUCCAAAAAGCAGCAGCUAUUCACUAAGUUCCGCUACUUCACAAUGUCAGGACUGGAAUUUCCUGUUAUCAUGAUGAACAGUUUUUUAAGUGCAUUGUACUUAAUCAGAUAAAGCACUCAGAGUACCUUGCAUAUUACUAUGUGUUCUUCUUUAAUAAAAGCUGAAGAACAGUCA